CCUAUCCUGGUAAAUUGUCAAACUGUUCUUAACCCCUUAAGGACCAAACUUCUGGAAUAAAAGGGAAUCAUGACAUGUCACGUGUCCUUAAGGGGUUAAACAGUUUGACUAUUUACUCUGGGAGGGCGCCACGGCACUCCUGGCACCAUAACUACUACAGAGAGCUGUAGUGGUUAUGUGCCUGAAUUGUUUCUUUAAAUAAUCUAUGAGUGCCCCUCCCAGGAUAAGACUCUGGAUCCACCAGUGGUGAAGGGUGAAGUGUAUGUGUGUGAGAGGUGCAGUGUGUGAGGGAUGCAGUGUGUGUGUGUUUGUGAGGGGUGAAGUGUGUAUGUGAGGGGUGAAUUAUUGCAUAAAACCCAAGACAGCAUGAUGCAGAGUUUGAC